GACGGAGGGGGCUAGCGUUGUUCGGAAUUACUGGGCGUAAAGAGCACGUAGGCGGCGGUGCAAGUUGGGGGUGAAAUCCCGGGGCUCAACCCUGGAAUUGCCUCCAAAACUGUGCUGCUUGAGUUCGGAAGAGGAGAGUGGAAUUCCCAGUGUAGAGGUGAAAUUCGUAGAUAUUCGGAAGAACACCAGUGGCGAAGGCGGCUCACUGGACCGGCAUUGACGCUGAGGUGCGAAAGCGUGGGGAGCAAACAGG
rnacentral:rRNA from 1 species